GAGAGAGAGAGAGAGAGAGAGAGAGAGAGAGAGAGAGAGAGACUGACCCACAGAUCAGUACACUGUAAACACUGCAGACACAGCUGACUCCAGAAAGAAGGAAGAGGCUGGGAGGAGGUCCUUGCCCUAUGGGGGUGUGGAAGUGGGAGUCGGAAGGAGUACUCAGGCUCACACAUGGAGAGCGUGCCACCACCCAGCAGGAGAGGAGCAGGGUGUGUAAGGGUCAGACGGGUAUUGGUGGGCUGGUAAGAUCAUGAUCUAGAGAUAAGUUGAAAGGCCCUGACACAGAAUGGCCCUGAAAUGCACCAAACAGCUGCUAGCACAGCGCACUCUUCCUGUCGGCCUCAACCUUCAUAACUUCUCUUCAUGUUCUCUGCGGACACGGAUUCCUCUACUUCUGACAUGUGGGAGCUCCCAGUACUUUGGAAGGGUGAAGACUAUGCAAGCUGACCAACUCCACAGCUUUUUCAUGCACCUCAAAAUGCUCAGUGGAGAUGUCUAAAGAUGUAGUAACUGCAGUUCUAGCUUUUGCAUGGCUUAGCAACUGGGGAGAAAAUGUUUGGCUAUGGAUUAUAUUCUAAAGGAUCCCUGCCAACUAGGAUUUGAACACCAUCUGAAUAAUCUCUGCAAUGUUGUGA